rnacentral:tRNA from 1 species
CUCCGGGAAUUUUACAUGUUUAUUUAAUUUAAAAAUAAAAUAUUAGAUUGUGAUUCUAAUUAUGAGAGUUAAAAUCUUUCAAUAAACC